CCUACGGGAGGCAGCAGUGGGGAAUUUUGGACAAUGGGCGCAAGCCUGAUCCAGCAAUGCCGCGUGCAGGAUGAAGGCCUUCGGGUUGUAAACUGCUUUUGUACGGAACGAAAAAGUCUGCCCUAAUACGGUGGGCCCAUGACGGUACCGUAAGAAUAAGCACCGGCUAACUACGUGCCAGCAGCCGCGGUAAUACGUAGGGUGCGAGCGUUAAUCGGAAUUACUGGGCGUAAAGCGUGCGCAGGCGGUUAUAUAAGACAGAUGUGAAAUCCCCGGGCUCAACCUGGGACCUGCAUUUGUGACUGUAUAGCUAGAGUACGGUAGAGGGGGAUGGAAUUCCGCGUGUAGCAGUGAAAUGCGUAGAUAUGCGGAGGAACACCGAUGGCGAAGGCAAUCCCCUGGACCUGUACUGACGCUCAUGCACGAAAGCGUGGGGAGCAAACAGGAUUAGAUACCCUGGUAGUCCACGCCCUAAACGAUGUCAACUGGUUGUUGGGUCUUCACUGACUCAGUAACGAAGCUAACGCGUGAAGUUGACCGCCUGGGGAGUCGGCCGCAAGGUUGAAACUUCAAAGGAAUUGACGGCNGAGAGNGCGAGACGACGACGAGGGAGGAGG
rnacentral:rRNA from 1 species